rnacentral:rRNA from 1 species
AUACAUGCAAGUCGAACGAGAUCUUCGGNUCUAGUGGCGCACGGGUGCGUAACGCGUGGGAAUCUGCCCUUGGGUUCGGAAUAACGUCGGGAAACUGACGCUAAUACCGGAUGAUGACGAAAGUCCAAAGAUUUAUCGCCCAGGGAUGAGCCCGCGUAGGAUUAGCUAGUUGGUGAGGUAAAGGCUCACCAAGGCUACGAUCCUUAGCUGGUCUGAGAGGAUGAUCAGCCACACUGGGACUGAGACACGGCCCAGACUCCUACGGGAGGCAGCAGUAGGGAAUAUUGGACAAUGGGGGCAACCCUGAUCCAGCAAUGCCGCGUGAGUGAUGAAGGCCUUAGGGUUGUAAAGCUCUUUUACCCGAGAUGAUAAUGACAGUAUCGGGAGAAUAAGCUCCGGCUAACUCCGUGCCAGCAGCCGCGGUAAUACGGAGGGAGCUAGCGUUGUUCGGAAUUACUGGGCGUAAAGCGCACGUAGGCGGCGAUUUAAGUCAGAGGUGAAAGCCCGGGGCUCAACCCCGGAACUGCCUUUGAGACUGGAUUGCUUGAAUCCUGGAGAGGUGAGUGGAAUUCCGAGUGUAGAGGUGAAAUUCGUAGAUAUUCGGAANAACACCAGUGGCGAAGGCGGCUCACUGGACAGGUAUUGACGCU